rnacentral:rRNA from 1 species
UGGCGCGUGCUAUCUGCAGUCGAGCGAUGGAUUAAGAGCUUGCUCUUAUGAAGUUAGCGGCGGACGGGUGAGUAACACGUGGGUAACCUGCCCAUAAGACUGGGAUAACUCCGGGAAACCGGGGCUAAUACCGGAUAACAUUUUGAACCGCAUGGUUCGAAAUUGAAAGGCGGCUUCGGCUGUCACUUAUGGAUGGACCCGCGUCGCAUUAGCUAGUUGGUGAGGUAACGGCUCACCAAGGCAACGAUGCGUAGCCGACCUGAGAGGGUGAUCGGCCACACUGGGACUGAGACACGGCCCAGACUCCUACGGGAGGCAGCAGUAGGGAAUCUUCCGCAAUGGACGAAAGUCUGACGGAGCAACGCCGCGUGAGUGAUGAAGGCUUUCGGGUCGUAAAACUCUGUUGUUAGGGAAA